rnacentral:misc_RNA from 1 species
GAUGAAGAACGUAGCGAAAUGCGAUACUUGGUGUGAAUUGCAGAAUCCCGUGAACCAUCGAGUCUUUGAACGCAAGUUACGCCCGAAGCCAUUAGGCCGAGGGCACGCCUGCCUGGGCGUCACACGUCGUUGCCCCCCCAUCUACUCCUUCGGGAUUGCGGGGGGCGGAUGAUGGCCUCUCGUGCGCCUCGUCGCGCGGUUGGCCUAAAUGCCAAGUCCUCGGCGACGCACGCCACGACAAUCGGUGGUUGCGAAACCUCGGUUGCCUGUCGUGUGCGGUCGUCGCGCAUCGAGGGCUCGAAAAAAUUGCCGGGCUUCGGCUCGACUUUCAACGCGACCCCAGGUCAGGCGGGGUUACCCGCUGAAUUUAAGCAUAUCAAUAAGCGGAGGA